UUAAAAAGGUCAAGCUACAAAGGGCGCAUGGUGAAUGCCUUGGCAUCAGGAGCCGAUGAAGGACGUGAUAAGCUGCGAUAAGCUUCGGGUAGGCGCACAUAGCCAGAGAUCCGGAGAUUUCCGAAUGGGGAAACCCGCAUGAGAAACCUCAUGCAUCGUAAAGUGAAUACAUAGCUUUAUGAAGGAACACCUAGGGAACUGAAACAUCUAAGUACCUAGAGGAAGAGAAAGAAAAAUCGAUUUUCUUAGUAGCGGCGAGCGAAAAGGAAAGAGCCCAAACCAGAGAUUUAUCUCUGGGGUUGCGGACAGAACAUAACGUGAAAUUAUGAUUAACCGAACACAACUGGAAAGUUGGACCGUAGGAGGUAAUAGUCCUGUAAGUAAAAGUCAUAAUGAUCAGUUCUGCACCAGAGUACCACGAGACACGUGAAACCUUGUGGGAAGCAGGGAGGACCACCUCCCAAGGCUAAAUACUACCUGAUGACCGAUAGUGAAGCAGUACCGUGAGGGAAAGGUGAAAAGAACCCCGGGAGGGGAGUGAAAUAGAACCUGAAACCCUGUGCUUACAAGCUGUGGGAGCACUUUAUAUGUGUGACCGCGUACUUUUUGUAGAACGGGCCAACGAGUUACGACAGUAAGCAAGGUUAAGUACUUAAGGUAUGGAGCCGUAGUGAAAGCGAGUCUUAAAUGGGCGUUAAGUUUUCUGUCGUAGACCCGAAACCGGGCGACCUACCCAUGAGCAGGAUGAAGCGAAAGUAAAAUUUCGUGGAGGUCCGAACCCACGAGCGUUGAAAAGCUCGGGGAUGACUUGUGGGUAGCGGUGAAAUUCCAAUCGAGCCCGGAGAUAGCUGGUUCUCCCCGAAAUAGCUUUAGGGCUAGCCUCAAGGUUGAGAAAUACGGAGGUAGAGCACUGAAUAUCCUAGGGGGCAUUGCGCUUACCGAAGAUUAUCAAACUCCGAAUGCCGUUAUUUUAUACUUGGGAGUCAGACUGUGGGUAAUAAGAUUCAUAGUCGAGAGGGCAACAGCCCAGAUCGUCAGCUAAGGUCCCUAAAUGUAAGUUAAGUGGUAAAGGAUGUGGGAUUGCAUAGACAACCAGGAUGUUGGCUUAGAAGCAGCCACUCAUUUAAAGAGUGCGUAAUAGCUCACUGGUCGAGUGAUCCUGCGCCGAAGAUUACCGGGGCUAAAACUUACUACCGAAGCUACGAUAUCAUUUAUGAUAGGUAGGGGAGCUUCCUAUGCAGGCUGAAGCAUGACCGUAAGGACAUGUGGACAGUAUAGGAGUGAGAAUGUUGGCAUGAGUAGCGAGACGUGGGUGAGAAUCCCACGGGCCGUAAACCCAAGGUUUCCAGGGGAAGGUUCGUCCGCCCUGGGUUAGUCGGGACCUAAGCCGAGGCCGAAAGGCGUAGGUGAUGGACAACAGGUUGAGAUUCCUGUACCACCAAUAAUCGCUUGAGAGAAGGAAUGACACAGUAGGAUAAGCUAACCACACUGUUGGUUAUGUGUGGCUAAGUACUGAGGCAGUCAAGGUAGGCAAAUCCGCCUUGAUAAUGCUGGGGUACGAUGGGGAGCGAAAUUAAGUAGCGAAGUAGCUGAUUUCACACUGUCGAGAAAAGUUUCUAUCGAGAUUAAAGGUGCCCGUACCGCAAACCGACACAGGUGGGUGAGGAGAGUAUCCUAAGGCCAGCGAGAGAACUGUUGUUAAGGAACUCGGCAAAAUGACCCCGUAACUUAGGGAGAAGGGGUGCCACGUUAGGGUUAACGCCCGAGGUGGCCGCAGAGAAUAGGCCCAAGCGACUGUUUACCAAAAACACAGGUUUCUGCUAAGUCGCAAGACGAUGUAUAGGAGCUGACGCCUGCCCGGUGCUGGAAGGUUAAGGGGAUCUGUUAGGAUUUAUCCGAAGCAGUGAACUUAAGCCCCAGUAAACGGCGGCCGUAACUAUAA
rnacentral:rRNA from 1 species